rnacentral:rRNA from 1 species
GACAUAUACAGGAAGUGUUGUAGAGAUACAGCAGCCGCUUGCGGUCUGUAUACAGGUGCUGCAUGGCUGUCGUCAGCUCGUGCUGUGAAGUGUUGGGUUAAGUCCCGCAACGAGCGCAACCCUAUCAUCUGUUGCCAGCAUUUAAGGUGGGGACUCAGAUGAGACUGCCGGUGACAAACCGGAGGAAGGUGGGGACGACGUCAAGUCAUCAUGGCCCUUAUGUCCUGGGCUACACACGUGCUACAAUGGCCGGUACAGAGUGAAGCGAAACCGCGAGGUGAAGCAAAACGCAGAAAGCCGGUCUCAGUACGGAUUGGAGUCUGAAACUCGACUUCAUGAAGUUGGAAUCGCUAGUAAUCGCGCAUCAGCAUGGCGCGGUGAAUACGUUCCCGGGCCUU